rnacentral:rRNA from 1 species
GACGAACGCUGGCGGCGUGCUUAACACAUGCAAGUCGAACGGUAAGGCCCUUCGGGGUACACGAGUGGCGAACGGGUGAGUAACACGUGGGUGAUCUGCCCUGCACUUCGGGAUAAGCCUGGGACACUGGGUCUAAUACCGGAUAGGACCACUGCCUGCAUGGGUGGUGGUGGAAAGCUUUUGCGUUGUGGGAUGGGCCCGCGGCCUAUCAGCUUGUUGGUGGGGUGAUGGCCUACCAAGGCGACGACGGGUAGCCGGCCUGGGAGGGUGACCGGCCAGACGGCGAUUGAGAUACGGCCCAGACUCCUACGGGAGGCAGCAGUGGGGAAUAUUGCACAAUGGGCGCAAGCCUGAUGCAGCGACGCCGCGUGAGGGAUGACGGCCUUCGGGUUGUAAACCUCUUUCAGCACCGACGAAGCGCAAGUGACGGUAGGUGCAGAAGAAGGACCGGCCAACUACGUGCCAGCCGCCGCCGUAA